GCUUCAGCAGCACACACUGGAAUGGGAGUGAUACAGAGAGAUUACCAUGAACCCUGCACAAAGAGGAAAGGCAAAUUGGUGGAGCAUUUCAUAUUGCU
rnacentral:snRNA from 1 species